rnacentral:rRNA from 1 species
CUGUCUCAAGACUAAGCCAUGCAUGUCUAAGUAUAAACGCUUCUAUACUGUGAAACUGCGAAUGGCUCAUUAAAUCAGUUAUAGUUUAUUUGAUGGUUCCUUACUACUUGGAUAACCGUAGUAAUUCUAGAGCUAAUACAUGCAGAAAGUCCCGACUUCUUGGAAGGGAUGUAUUUAUUAGAUCCAAAACCAGCGCGAGUUUCCUUCGGGGGCUCGGUUGCAUGGUGAUUCAUGAUAACUGCUCGAAUCGCAUGGCCUUGCGCCGGCGAUGAUCCAUUCAAAUUUCUGCCCUAUCAACUUUCGAUGGCAAGGUAGUGGCUUGCCAUGGUGACAACGGGUGACGGAGAAUUAGGGUUCGAUUCCGGAGAGGGAGCCUGAGAAACGGCUACCACAUCCAAGGAAGGCAGCAGGCGCGCAAAUUACCCAAUCCCGACUCGGGGAGGUAGUGACAAUAAAUAACAAUGCUGGGCUAUCGUAGUCUGGCAAUUGGAAUGAGUACAAUCUAAACCCCUUAACGAGGAACAAUUGGAGGGCAAGUCUGGUGCCAGCAGCCGCGGUAAUUCCAGCUCCAAUAGCGUAUAUUAAAGUUGUUGCAGUUAAAAAGCUCGUAGUUGGAUUUCGGGGCAGCCCGGCUGGUCCGUCGCGAGGCGAGUACUGGUCGGCCGCCCUUCCUCUCGAAAGCCCCGACUGCUCUUCACUGCAGUGGUCGGGGAGUUCGGGACGUUUACUUUGAAAAAAUUAGAGUGUUCAAGGCAGGCCAUCGCCUGAAUACAUUAGCAUGGAAUAAUGGAAGAGGACCUCGGUCCUAUUUUGUUGGUUUCUAGGGCCGAAGUAAUGAUUAAGAGGGACAGUUGGGGGCAUUCGUAUUUAAUUGUCAGAGGUGAAAUUCUCGGAUUUAUGAAAGACGAACAACUGCGAAAGCAUUUGCCAAGGAUGUUUUCAUUAAUCAAGAACGAAAGUUAGGGGUUCGAAGAC